rnacentral:rRNA from 1 species
GACGAACGCUGGCGGCGUGCUUAACACAUGCAAGUCGAACGGAAAGGCCCUGCUUUUGUGGGGUGCUCGAGUGGCGAACGGGUGAGUAACACGUGAGUAACCUGCCCUUGACUUUGGGAUAACUUCAGGAAACUGGGGCUAAUACCGGAUAGGACCUCCUGCUGCAUGGUGGGGGUUGGAAAGUUUCGGCGGUUGGGGAUGGACUCGCGGCUUAUCAGCUUGUUGGUGGGGUAGUGGCUUACCAAGGCUUUGACGGGUAGCCGGCCUGAGAGGGUGACCGGCCACAUUGGGACUGAGAUACGGCCCAGACUCCUACGGGAGGCAGCAGUGGGGAAUAUUGCACAAUGGGCGGAAGCCUGAUGCAGCAACGCCGCGUGCGGGAUGACGGCCUUCGGGUUGUAAACCGCUUUCGCCUGUGACGAAGCGGGAGUGACGGUAAUGGGUAAAGAAGCACCGGCUAACUACGUG